ensembl:lncRNA
GCAGCCACCGUGCAAAAGCACCCCAGGUCCAAAUUCAUUUAAGCUAUUCCAUAUGGCUAAAACACCCUGAAUCUCUCUCUCUCUCUCUCUCUCUCUCUCUCUCUCUCUCUCUCUCUCUCUUUUCCCCCCCAUCCCUGUGAUGGUGGGGCAGCCCAUUAUUGGGUUCACGUCCUUCACUAUCCUAUAUAUACAUCUCCCUCUCUCAUGCUACUUACUCUUUUCUGUCUAAUUCUUUCGGGCUUUGUCUCUCUCUUAGGGAUCGACCGAUACAGAUUUUUGAGGGCCGAUACCGAUUUUCUUGAGCCGAUAAUACCCUGGAAAUCCAGAGUUCUCGCGAGAGCACAAUUUGAAUUUGCUCAGCGAGUCACUCUGGGAACGAGCAAUAUACUCGUGUAUAUUCUGGGCCUCCCCUGCAUGCUUGGUGCCGCCCCUCGAGUUGAACAAAUGUUACAACGUCUCAAUUUAAAAAAAUUAACAUUUAUUGUCUUUAUUGUCUGUAAAUCACGGCAAAAAAAUAAAUAAUAAUAAUCGGCCGAUACCGAUACACGAUACCGAAAAAACGGUGAUCGGCCGGCCGAUAUAUCGGUCGAUCACUAUUCUCACUCUUAUACAUCCAUUCCAUCACUGAACACCGUCAGACGUUGGCUUUGUCAUGGGGAGACAGGGAGGGAAAUUGGAAGGGGGGGAGGGAUGCUGCAAGUUGGCGGGGUUGUUACAUGCUCAUUUAUUUGCACAGGGACACCAAAUGUCUGCUAGUGGGAUUUGGGAAAGUGACCGUUUUAGUUUCAGAUGAUGAUGACAAUGCCGAUUAAGAUUCAAUCUGAUUCCCAAAUACACGCAAUUUAGUUGUCCCACUGAUCGGGUACUUCCAUGUAUCCAAUGGCAUUGUAAUGGAGGACUAAUAAUCCCAUUUUUUUUUUUUUGAUUGCCACUGUUUGGUGGCAGGGUGCUCUUCAGGGAGUCCUAAUGCUGAGGCGUUUUCCUAUUUGAAAUGAGUUCGAGGAGUUCACCCUGUCAGCUGUCUAGCGAAGCACCAUGCAAACACCAUGAAAAUAUAAGCACUCUGUCAAACACAUACAGCCUUCCGGGAUUGUCCCUUCACAUAAUAGUGGUAAACUUGACUAGCGACAUCCGACUGAAAUCUACUCAGUGCUGAACAUAGUUGGAUACAAAUAAUUCUUCAUCCUAAAGAGAUAUGCGUUGCGUUUGAUUUUGAUGCUGUUGAAGGGAAUCGGGCAUUUGAGGAAAAAUAAUAAGUGUUUUGGUUUGUUAAUUUUAGGUUGAGGGGUGUCAUAUAUUGCGAUUUUGAAAAGGGUCUAUUACUUUAUUGUUUUUAGGACUAUACACUAGUCCCCCACCUUGCUAAGCGGUGUUCUGUCUGAAGAUGAACGCCUGUUAGAUUAUGAAUAGUUUAUGACUUAAUCUUAAUGACUGUAUGCCUUCCACUGUGUUAAAACACAGUACGUUUGAUAUUGUAUUGCUGUCCUACGAUUAGUGAACUGCAACUAUUUUUGUGAGCUGGAUUUUAUUGUUAUACUUGACUUCUAUGGGAUGUGAAAAUUUUUCGUUGUUAAUAAAAAAUAUCUAUAUUUAAAGAUAUAUAAUACUUUUCAAACUUUUUAAUGAACUGAGCAAUAGAGGAAAGAGAUUAGGCAGACAUUUUUGUAUCAGUGAACUACUUCUAUAUACUUUCUAUGUUGAGCUGAUUCUCGUUGUGUUGAA